rnacentral:rRNA from 1 species
UACGUAGGGUGCGAGCGUUGUCCGGAAUUAUUGGGCGUAAAGGGCUCGUAGGCGGUUUGUCACGUCGGGAGUGAAAACUCAGGGCUUAACCCUGAGCCUGCUUCCGAUACGGGCAGACUAGAGGUAUGCAGGGGAGAACGGAAUUCCUGGUGUAGCGGUGAAAUGCGCAGAUAUCAGGAGGAACACCGGUGGCGAAGGCGGUUCUCUGGGCAUUACCUGACACUGAGGAGCGAAAGUGUGGGGAGCGAACAGG